CUACGGGCCGCAGCAGUGAGGAAUAUUGCACAAUGGGGGGAACCCUGAUGCAGCAACGCCGCGUGGAGGAUGACGCAUUUCGGUGUGUAAACUCCUUUUAUAUGUCAAGAAAAUGACGGUAGCAUAUGAAUAAGCACCGGCUAACUCCGUGCCAGGCAGCCGCGAUAAUACGGAGGGUGCAAGCGUUACUCGGAAUCACUGGGCGUAAAGGACGCGUAGGCGGGUUGGAAAGUCAGGUGUGAAAUCCUACAGCUUAACUGUAGAACUGCACUUGAAACUUCUAAUCUAGAGUAUGGGAGGGGGAGAUGGAAUUAGUGGUGUAGGGGUAAAAUCCGUAGAUAUCACUAGGAAUACCUAAAGCGAAGGCGAUCUCCUGGAACAUUACUGACGCUAAGGCGUGAAAGCGUGGGGAGCAAACAGGAUUAGAUACCCCCGUAGUC
rnacentral:rRNA from 1 species